GAUGAACGCUGGCGGCGUGCUUAACACAUGCAAGUCGAACGGUGAAGGCGGAGCUUGCUCUGCUGGAUCAGUGGCGAACGGGUGAGUAACACGUGAGCAAUCUGCCCCUGACUCUGGGAUAAGCGCUGGAAACGGCGUCUAAUACUGGAUACGAGCUGCGAAGGCAUCUUCAGCAGCUGGAAAGAACUUCGGUCAGGGAUGAGCUCGCGGCCUAUCAGCUUGUUGGUGAGGUAACGGCUCACCAAGGCGUCGACGGGUAGCCGGCCUGAGAGGGUGACCGGCCACACUGGGACUGAGACACGGCCCAGACUCCUACGGGAGGCAGCAGUGGGGAAUAUUGCACAAUGGGCGAAAGCCCGAUGCAGCAACGCCGCGUGAGGGACGACGGCCUUCGGGUUGUAAACCUCUUUUAGCAGGGAAGAAGCGAAAGUGACGGUACCUGCAGAAAAAGCGCCGGCUAACUACGU
rnacentral:rRNA from 1 species